GCCUGUGACCACAAGUUCUUGCUGGUGGCUGCGCGGACAAUUUUUCCUAAAAUACUUAACUUUAGGAAAAACAAAAAAAUAUGCAAAUA